GACGAACGCUGGCGGCGUGCUUAACACAUGCAAGUCGAACGGAAAGGCCCCUUUGGGGGUACUCGAGUGGCGAACGGGUGAGUAACACGUGAGUAACCUGCCCUUGACUUCGGGAUAACUUCAGGAAACUGGGGCUAAUACCGGAUAGGAAUCCUUGCUGCAUGGUGGGGGUUGGAAAGCUUCGGCGGUUUUGGAUGGACUCGCGGCUUAUCAGCUUGUUGGUGGGGUAGUGGCUUACCAAGGCUUUGACGGGUAGCCGGCCUGAGAGGGCGACCGGCCACAUUGGGACUGAGAUACGGCCCAGACUCCUACGGGAGGCAGCAGUGGGGAAUAUUGCACAAUGGGCGGAAGCCUGAUGCAGCAACGCCGCGUGCGGGAUUACGGCCUUCGGGUUGUAAACCGCUUUCAGCAGGGGCGAAGCUUGUGGUGACGGUACCUGCAGAAGAAGCACCGGCUAACUACGUG
rnacentral:rRNA from 1 species